GGACCCUCCUGCCUCUGCUUCCUGAGUACUGCCCCUGAAGGCAGGCACUACCCCCACCUAGCUUUAGUUUUUAAACUGGUGUCUGGAUGCAUGUGCCUGUGUGUCUGUGUGUGUGUGUGUGUGCCGUGAGCGUGUGUGUGUGUUCUUGAAGUCCAGAGAGUGAACUCUGGAAGAUCAGCAAAUACUUUCAACCACAGCGCCAUCUCUCAAGCCCCCGCUUUGGUUUACACUGUGCGUUCAUAGGGAGGUCAGAGGACAGCUUGUAGGAAUCAGUUCUUGACUUCCCCCAUAUGGGUUCCCGGGAACACACUCAGGUUGUCACUCGUGCCCAUUUCACCAGCGCCAUCUUGUUUGGGGGGCCAGUGUUUCAGAUAAGCUAAUGAACCCACGAGCUUCCAGGACAGUUUUCCUGUCUCCACCUUCUACAUCACCUUAGGAGUGCCAGAGUUACAGAUGUGAGCCACCUGUCUGGCUUGUUGUGGAUUUCAGGGUUCAGACUCAGGUUGCCAGGCGUGAAUGGCAAGCGCCCUUGUCCUCCUCACGGUCCCCGCCCCGUAGCCGCUUGUAGCAGAAAGUAUUUUACUGCAAUGGUUCUUUGCAAAUUCCUGACCACUACCUCUCGCCUUCUUCACAGAUUUCCUCUCCUUUCCUUCAUCGGCCAGGCAGAACUCCACUUUCUAUCCUGAACCCCCUUCUUGUCUGUCUCUCCUUCCCAUUUGGCAAGGCAAGACCGAAGUUUGAGGUAGACGAGCAGGCGAGCCGUUUGCCCGGGCGCAGAGCAUGAAGGCCGGGCGGGCGCGGGGAGCGGGCGCCCGCCGCCCGGCGCGGGGGUGAGCGAGAGAGAGAGCGGAGCGCGUGUGGCCGGCGCCGCUCGGCCUGGAGCUCCCGC
rnacentral:lncRNA from 1 species